AGCAAAAAUCAUUCAUUCCUGUGUUGAUUGCAAAAGUUUUAAACCAUAUUCUUCACAUAAAAUAGUAAAUUGGAAAUGAAUGAAAAGGAAACACCCAAGAAGCUCAAGGUGGCGUUUUACAUAUAAACAUUACUCAAUGGACUACGAAGGAGACUUUACAAUUGGUAACAAAUAUGUGUACUUCCAUGAUGUCGAUAUUAAAGGUACUAGUACUGUAAUCCAGAAAUUCGGGAUAGAGAGGAUCUAGGGGGACUCUCACGUAUGGAUUUAUGAUUAUGUCACCUCAAUGGUCCAUGCUCUAGAUGGCCGGAAACGACUUAACUCAAGACAGACAAUGUUUACUGUAUUUAAAUUGGACCUCAUUGGAAAUGGGCUGGAAUCCGACCUAAUGGACGUUCCUGAUGCUCAUUACGUGAUGUAGACAAAGAAGCCACAACUAUCAGGAAAGAAUGUCCGGACUCAAUCGUGAAAGGGCAACAGAACUUACCAAUUAUUUGUAGAUAGCCAAAAAUUGUACGUGUAACUCAUCAAGCUUCCUGAAAGAAUUCUGGAUAUGAAAUUGAUUAAAAUAUAGUGUAAAUUCUAUUUUUUAAAUGUUUUCUUCUGCAAUAAUCUCAAAAAUAAUGUUAGCAAUAUGUAGUAGGCCUAAUUCUUAUGUUUAUUAAUAUUGUACUAUUACUGCUAAUAUUUAUCUUAUUAAUAGAGAAAGUAACCCGUUUGUUGUAAAGAAUAUAGACAUGUAAGAUAAUAAGAUAUAACAUUUCCAGGAUUAAAAUCAGAUUUAUUGAUA